GUAGUCCACGCCGUAAACGAUGGGUACUAGGUGUCUGGGGGAGCGACCCCCUGGGUGCCGGCGCUAACGCAUGAAGUACCCCGCCUGGGGAGUACGGCCGCAAGGCUGAAACUCAAAGGAAUUGACGGGGGCCCGCACAAGCGGUGGAGCAUGUGGUUUAAUUCGACGCAACGCGAAGAACCUUACCUGGGCUUGACAUGCUGGAGAAAGCUUGCGGAAACGUGAGCCCCUCUUCGGAGUUCCAGCACAGAUGCUGCAUGGCUGUCGUCAGCUCGUGUCGUGAGAUGUUGGGUUAAGUCCCGCAACGAGCGCAACCCUCACUCUUAGUUACCAGCGGGUAAUGCCGGGGACUCUAGGGGGACUGCCGGUGCCAAACCGGAGGAAGGUGGGGAUGACGUCAAGUCAUCAUGGCUCUUACGUCCAGGGCUACACACGUGCUACAAUGGGCCAGACAGAGGGUCGCCAACUCGCGAGAGUGAGCCAAUCCCUAAACUGGUCCUCAGUUCGGAUUGUAGUCUGCAACUCGACUACAUGAAGCUGGAAUCGCUAGUAAUCGUGGAUCAGCUACGCCACGGUGAAUA
rnacentral:rRNA from 1 species